rnacentral:rRNA from 1 species
UACAGAGGGGGCAAGCGUUAUUCGGAAUUAUUGGGCGUAAAGGGCGCGUAGGCGGCCUGGCAAGUGACGGGUGAAAUCCCUCGGCUUAACCGAGGAUGUGCCCGUUAGACUGUCAGGCUUGAGACCGGGAGAGGUGAGUGGAAUUCCCAGUGUAGCGGUGAAAUGCGUAGAUAUUGGGAGGAACACCAGUGGCGAAGGCGGCUCACUGGACCGGUACUGACGCUGAGGCGCGAAAGCGUGGGGAGCAAACAGG